GCUGAGCUUGCUCUGUGUGAGGAAGCAAGUGAGAGAGAGAGAGAAAAUGGCCGAUGGAGGGAGAAAGCAGCAGCAGAAUGGAGGGUGCAGGGAUAAGCAACAUGAUGCCCUUCAGAUGAUGGACUACAAUUGUCAUCAUCCCUGACUGCUGGUCAUGCUGGUUGCGGCUGAUGGGAGAUACACCAUGCUGGCUAUCCCUGAGUUCUGGAUGCAGCUUCUUUGUUGCCACCUCUACUUCCUGCAGCAACUGUGGUGGAGCCUAGGACAGCAAACAUCAACAAAAACAACAAAAAGUUUAACAGAAAAGAAAAGUAUUCGGGGCGUGGCCAGCAGAGCUGCAAAAUGGCUGCAUAACUUUGCUGCUCUGUUCCCUCCGGAUGGAAAAGCCUCCCUAAUAUUAAAUCGGGACAUAGUCUUAUUCAUAAAUAAAAGCUAUUUCGAGGGGGCAAUGCUCCCCAGCAUAUUUAAAGGAAAAGAAGGCAUUUUGGAGGACUAUUUUAAAUCGCAAGACACAGAAGGCCCAAGCGCAGCAAAGAGACAACUACUAAACAAGAUGGCUCCUGGAUCUCAGAAAAGCUCUAAAACAGCACCUGCAGAUGUGAAUUUCGCAGCUGCUUCAUGGAAGGAAGAGCUAGCUAGGCAAUUUCAGUCCACUGCUGGGGAUUCCCAUUUCGACUGAUUAUCCCUAAGAAUGGAGGGCUGCUGACAGUGAGCACCAUGAAGGAGUUUCUAUCCCUCCUGACAGCAUGCAACAUAGAACACCCUGAAGGGAUCCAAAAAGAAGACCUAGAAGCUGACAAAAAUGACACACGACAGAGAUAUAACUAGCACUGGGAAAGCAGCAAGAAAAAUCUUCACCCUCGCAAACACACCCCUACAGAAUCAACAGCUAAUAUCCGUGCAGAAGCUCGAUCUCUCACACCAAGUCCUUCUAAUGCAAAAUGAAGAGACUGUGCAUCAAUACUCACAUACUUCUGACAAAUUCUCCAGCAUUUAAAUCUCCAAAAUGAUGUUGUUUGAGAAAUAGCACGCAAGUCACCAGUAUAUUAAUUUUGGUUGCUUCUAAUAUUAAAGGGAGGGGGCGCAUGGGGGGGAAGGAGGGGGGAAUUAUAGUUCUUUCUUCUCCCCUCUUUCCUCAUUCCUUCCCAUGUGUCCCCAAGCCUUUUUUCUUCUUUUUAACUCAUGUUCCAUCCGGGGGAGGGGGCAAAACAAAGGAGAUGGCAGCUCUUUGCAGCGGUCUUCUCCUUUCCAUAUUCUUUUUACCUUUUGGCCUUUCCCCCCAAAAAAGUUGUGUUUAUCACAAGGGCCUAAGCCCUGGAUCUAUGCACUUUUGCAUAGACGUGGACUCUGUGUUUUCAACCGAGUCUGCAAAGUCAGGCCUCUAAUGGCACCGCUCAGGGACUUUAAGUUUUUCCCUGUAAGGAAGGUGCUGGUAUGUUGUCCAAGUUUAGCAUUUGUUUCAUCAGUUAGACCCCGUUGGGUAAGGUUUGGGUUGGGAAGGGGCUCGUGGGGAAGGAAAGGUGGCUUAUUUCAGUUGCUAUUAUUAAACCUUCGAUUGAUGUAUUCUAAGUUAAAUUGGUGGUUGUACAUGGUGGAUGUUAAGGGAGCAGAGGGAACUCUGGUUGGUUUAAAUUCUCCUUUGACUCCUCUCUUCUUCCAUCCCGAUUUUUAUAAUAAAAAUAGAUAUAUAUAGCCUGGCAGGAAUGGAAGUUGAGGGGACUUUUCCGUAUUCGAGACUUUUUCACUAACAACCAACUAAUAACAGAGCAAUUGUUUAGAGAUACGCUGGGUGACAUGAAUUUUUCUUGUAUCCAAUGGUGUCAGACACAUGAUUUUUUAUCAAGGACAUGAAUCAAAUAACAGGCUUGUUGCCAAUUAAACCCUUUUGAACAA